rnacentral:misc_RNA from 1 species
UGUGGGAGCUGGCUUGCCUGCGAUGGCGGUAUGCCUGUGCCAGAGAUGCAAGCUGGCCCUCCGCUAUCGCAGGUAAGCCAGCUCCCACA